AACAUGCAUGGAAAAUACUACUUAUAUUCUACAAAAAGUUUACAGCUAUAUAAUAAUUAAACACAAUCGGUCAUAUUUUGGCCUUUGCUCUCAAAGUUUACAGCUACAAAAAGUUUACAGCUAUAUAAUAAUUAAAUUUCAGCAGAAACGCUCUCUAUGAACCACGGCGAGCUGUCAGUCACAGCCGACAUUCCUCAUGACUUAAGCAAGUUUUUCAUAUUUUGGCCUUUGCUCUCGAAGAAGGCACAAAAUGCUAUAGGAUGACACCAACAUUCAAUGUGUUAGAUUGAGCAACCGCAAUCACGCGCAUUCAAGCUUCUGCACCAGGGGAAAGGGGAAGCUCAGCAUCACCACUCAGACACGGCAUACUGUUAGGGCAUGGAACAGAUGAAACGUCCCUUUUCCAAAAUGCUUUGAUGGAUCGAAGUGUCGAAUGGUUAGAUCAAUCACUUGGAAUUUCAUAGAUCCUUGGCUUGGAACCUACAUGGAUUACUUCAAUGACUAGAACGUUGGGACUGUGGAGUCGAUGGGUAGGACAACUCAGAUUGCUCAUCACUCCGCAAUUUGGAAACAUCACUCUGCGGGAGACAAGUAAAUUAGGACCGAGGCAAAUUUAAGACCCAAGCAAAGACCUGUGUUGCUUUAAGGACAAAACAUGCUUCAAAACUGAUUUAAAACAUCCAAGUGCGUUGAUAUUGAAUGUCACCUGUGAUGCUUCAGAUUGUUGACCAUGCUCCAGCUGCCUCUUCCUUGCAUCCUGAAGAGAUACAGAAAUGCUCAGAGACGACACAGUUGGCAAAUGAAACUUAACAUGUUUAAAUACCAAGUUCGUUGUGCCACAGUUUCCUCUAGAAGACAAUGGCAAAUAUUCAAUAUUGAUUCUACUGUGUGAUGUCACAUAUCAUGAAUUACCAAAAAUAUAUGUCGGGAAAUAAGGCGAGCUGGAUUUUAUGACGUGUUGAUGUGAGCUUAACGUAC
rnacentral:lncRNA from 1 species